UGGGGAAUUUUGGACAAUGGGGGAAACCCUGAUCCAGCAAUGCCGCGUGUGUGAAGAAGGCCUUCGGGUUGUAAAGCACUUUUGUUCGGGAAGAAAGCUCUUGUGUUAAUACCAUAAGUGAAUGACGGUACCGAAAGAAUAAGGACCGGCUAACUACGUGCCAGCAGCCGCGGUAAUACGUAGGGUCCUAGCGUUAAUCGGAAUUACUGGGCGUAAAGAGUGCGCAGGCGGUUAUGUAAGACAGAUGUGAAAUCCCUGAGCUUAACUUAGGAACUGCAUUUGUGACUGCAUGACUAGAGUGUGUCAGAGGGGGGUAGAAUUCCACGUGUAGCAGUGAAAUGCGUAGAUAUGUGGAGGAAUACCAAUGGCGAAGGCAACCCCCUGGGAUAACACUGACGCU
rnacentral:rRNA from 1 species